rnacentral:lncRNA from 1 species
UGGAUUUAUUGAGGGGGAGGAUUAUUUACCCAGGUAGAUCCACCUUUUCUUAGCUAUCAAAUGGGGUUUAAUGCUACCUACCUGAAAUGAGAUAGUCAAGUUGGAAGUGCCCAAUCUCAUGCGCCUUGUGAUGGAUAAAUGCUGAUUCCCUCUGUCCAUCCUCCUCUUCCUAUUCUCAGGUGGGAAUUAAGGAACUAAAUUCACCAUCUUCCAAGUUCCUUUGAGCUCUCAAAUUCUGUGAUUCUAAAACCUAUAGUUCAAGAGACAAUGCCAAACAUAGCGUGUGUCUGUGCUUUAUGGUGAGAGUGGUGUGGUGGUAACAGUGAGACUGCAUCGACCAUAGUUUAGUUUUUGCAUUUGUUAGGGCUUAGCAUCUAGAUUCUUUGAAAGUCUGAUUUAUAAAACAGCAUUGAAGAAGUUAUAUUUGAAUCUGUGACAGUCUUCUAGAAGCUGAGUAUAUCAGAUAAAUGGGCAUACUUUUCUAAGUGACUGGCCCUAAUCUCCACUACGUUGCCUCCUGUAAUGCAUGCUCAAAUAUAUAGUUUUCAUUACCUGCCUGAUUUUCAAACAGCAUUAAAUAAGCUGCAAAACAAAUCCAAGUUGAAAUUGUGAGCAUAGAAUUUUUAUAGCGUGAAAUUAUUCAAUGUUUGUUUAAAAAUAGUCACUAGUGUAUUCACUGUGAAUUUAUAAUCUUAAAAAUUAGGGAUGCUAAUGGGAGUUCUUGCUGUGGCUCAGUGGAUUGAUGAUCUGGCUUGUCUGUGGAGGCACUGGUUCAGAUUCAGUCCCUGGCCUGGGAACUUCCAUAUGCUACAAGUUUGUCCAAAAGAAAGAAAAAAAAUGGGUAUGCUAAAAGUACUGGGCUAAAAUACAUUUAGAUUUUUUUCAUCAUUUAAUUCCAUCUUGUUAAAAUAAUCACAACUUGGGUUCCAUCUCCCACCACCCCCGACCCCAACACCACCAUCUAAAUCUGCUAUACAGUAAAUACUGGGAUGAGUAUGCACAACAAAAGGCAUAUGCAAUUAAUUGGUUGGGGUUUGGAGACACAUGUGGAACUUGAACAAAGUAUUUGCAUCUAUGCAGGGUGGUCUCCUUGAACUGACUGUUGGGUGCCUGCAGGAUAAGCCCUGGAGACCUGGAUGGGAGAGUUCUCCUCAUGCACUGUAGGCUCCAACUGCAUUUGAAACAACUAUUUUUAAAAACUUAAGCAGAGGAAGGCUGGAAAGAAUGCAGACAGGACACUGAAAAUGCUAAUUCCCUUUGUUAAUAUAACAUGAGAUAUCUGGUAGUGGCAAAACAAACAAAAUUAAAUGCUAGGAUCCAAUGUGGCUGAAAUUCAACUAAUAUCAUCUGAAGUGGUCUUAAUACUCAGAUUACUGUUAGAAGUUAGGCAGCAGUAUUUUUGUGGAACCAAGGUAUAUAAAUUUAAUUUGCAUUUUCUUAUAGUCAUUCUUGUAAAUUCUUGUGAAGGUUUGUUUUGCAUCUGAGAUAUUUUCUAUACAUUUGGCCCUUGAACAACAUGGGGGUUAUUUAAUCUGAGUAUAAAUUAUAGUCGACCCUCCAUGUCUCUGGUUUUUCCACAUUGGCAGAUUCCACCAACCAGAGACCAAAUCCUAUAGUAUUUAUUAUUGAAAAUUAUCCACAUUUUAGUGGACCCACACAGUCCAAAUCUGAACAGAUGUUCAAGGAUCAGCUGUACUAAAAUUUUAUAGUACAUUCUUAGUCCCUUUUGGCUAGUAAAUUAAAGCUGAAAAUAUAAAGUGUUGGCAUACUGUGAUUUGCAGUUUUACGUAAAGUGAGACUGCAUCAUUCUGAUCAAGUUGCAACAUUUUAAUUUUAUCUGAUAGGUCUGUAUUGAGUAAUCAAUAACGAAGUGCAAAUACUCCUGUCGUAGAGAUCAUUUCAUAUAAAAGUCACCUUAAUUACUAGACCCUGAAGGCCAGAGGUAAUGAAAGAGUACUUUAGAAAGAUUAAAUGUUAAUGAUAAAUUAAGGAAACAGUCUUUUAAAUAUAUUUUCCUUGGUGUAAUAUAAUGUAGAUUUUUACCUCAGAUUUGUUAUUAAACUUGAUAAGUUUAUUUUUCCAUCUGUUUAAUAAAAUGAAUAUUUUCAUAUCCUGGCAUAUUUAAAUUUUAAAUAAUUAUAAUUCUAAUUUCUACUUAUGUUACUAAUUCUGUUAUAAUUUGGGGCCAGAACUACCCUCAAGUUUUGGAAGAAAUUUGAAACAUUGCUUAUUUUUAUAUUAUAUAAUUUAGGAAAGAUUAUUUUAUAGACUAUGAAUAACCUAAUGUAAAAUAUGUAUGAUUUAUUCUAAUGUAUUUGUAUAAAAUCAUUUGUAUAUUCUACUUAUAGUAUGUACUUUCUAUCUCAGUAAAAAUAUAUGAAAAGUUCAGAUCUAUCCUUGUGCAAACAAGUAUUUGAUUUCUAAAGUUUUCUUUUUCCUACAACAUUUGCAUUCAUUCAUUCUUUCAUGCCUAAAUCUCCAAUAUAUCUCAGGUAUUCAGUAAAGUAGAUCUUCCUGUGGAACAAUGUGGUUCAGUUGUAAGAGACCAAACAUGGAGCACAGUGAGUUGUAUAUUAUGCUUGUUAAGGUCUAAAGACAACAUACAGGGUAAACUUUUUCAAUAGUCGAAUUACUCAUGGGAAGGUUCAUCGUAGGAGAGUUAACGUUCUGUCUCACAAGGCCCUUCCAGUGAGUUCUUCCUCCAGACUUGGAAUAGCUCGCUAUUUAAUUGAGUAUUAUAGCAGUCAGGGUUCCACCAAGAAAACAAAAACUACUGGAAUAUUUUAAACAGGGAAUUUAAAACAAUUGUGUUCAAAGAGCUGAGAGGACAAGCAAAAACUGAGGUAGCUCAGAAAUGCGCAAAAGGGGAAUCCAAUCCUCUCCCUAGGCUAGUGGAGCAAGGUGAGAAAGUGGGGCAAAGCCAGGUCAGUAGGAGGAAGGCAAACUUCAGCAGAGAAGAGUAGGAAACAAGACAAUGAGAGACUCUGGUUUUCCUUUUCUUUCUUCCACUUCCUCCCUUUGCAGGGUCUGACCAGGAGCUGCCACCAAGGGAGCUUGGGAAAUGGAGUUGCUACAACAGAAUCUCAGAACCUGAAGACAUCACAGUAUGAGAAAUACUCUGACACUGUAAAUCAACUAUAAU